GGGGAAUUUUCCGCAAUGGGCGAAAGCCUGACGGAGCAAUACCGCGUGAGGGAGGAAGGCUCUUGGGUUGUAAACCUCUUUUCUCAGGGAAGAAAAAAAUGACGGUACCUGAGGAAUAAGCAUCGGCUAACUCCGUGCCAGCAGCCGCGGUAAUACGGAGGAUGCAAGCGUUAUCCGGAAUGAUUGGGCGUAAAGGGUCCGCAGGUGGCAUUGUAAGUCUGCUGUUAAAGAGUUUGGCUCAACCARAUAAAAGCAGUGGAAACUACAAAGCUAGAGUAUGGUCGGGGCAGAGGGAAUUCCUGGUGUAGCGGUGAAAUGCGUAGAUAUCAGGAAGAAC
rnacentral:rRNA from 1 species